GCCUUUGUGGUGCAGUGGUCAGCACGCUCGACGCGUAACCGAGAGGUCCGUGGUUCGAUUCCUGGCGAAGGAG
rnacentral:tRNA from 1 species